AUGUUCUCUUUAGCUCUGCUGCUGCUGGCUGCUGGAUCCUGUGUAAAGUGUGAACAGCUGACACACCCAGCCUCUGUGACUGUGCAUCCAGGGGAUCGUCUGACCAUAACCUGUCAGACCUCUUAUUCUCUUAGCAGCGCUCGAACAUUUUGGAUCAGACAACCUGCAGGAAAAGAACUGGAGUGCAUUGGUAGUGUACAUGUUGGACACAGCACACGGUACAAAGACUCACUACAGAACAAGUUUAGUAUCGACAUAGACUCCUCCAACAGGACCGUGACUCUGAUUGGACAGAAUGUGCAGCCUGAAGACUCAGCUGUGUAUUACUGUGCCAGAGAACCACCCACAGUAACACAAAGCAUCAUGAGACCUGAACAAAAACCCCUCAGUGACUGA